rnacentral:rRNA from 1 species
AGGGCGCACAGUGGAUGCCUAGGCACAUGAAGGCGAAGAAGGACGCGACGAACGGCGAAACGCUACGGGGAGCUGUAAGUAAGCAACAAUCCGUAGGAAUCCGAAUGUGGGAACACACUUGAGUAAUGUCAAGUACAUCGAAAGAUGGGCGAAACCUUCCGAAUUGAAAUAUCUUAGUAGGAAGAGGAAAAGAAAGCAAAAGCGAUUCCGAAAGUAGUGACGAGCGAAAUUGGAGGAACCUAAGUCAGCGACGUGGCAAUAAGGAAUAGAUGAAUGAGUUUGGGAAACUCAACCGAAGAAGGUGAAAGUCCUGUAAUCGAAAUAAAUUAAAGCCUAGCUGGAACGAGUAAGGCGGGACACGAGAAAUCCCGUUUGAAAAGAAUGAGGACCACCUCAUAAGGUUAAAUACUAGCAUGUGACCGAUAGUGAACCAGUACCGUGAGGGAAAGGUGAAAAGAACCCCGGGAGGGGAGUGAAAUAGAACCUGAAACCCUGCACUUACAAGCUGUGGGAGCACAUUACUUGUGUGACCGCGUACUUUUUGUAGAACGGGCCAACGAGUUACGUUAAGUAGCAAGGUUAAGCACUUAAGGUGUGGAGCCGUAGCGAAAGCGAGUCUUAAAUGGGCGAUUAAGUUACUUGGCGUAGACCCGAAACCGGGCGACCUAUCCAUGAGCAGGUUGAAGCGAAAGUAAAAUUUCGUGGAGGACCGAACCCACGAGCGUUGAAAAGCUCGGGGAUGACUUGUGGAUAGCGGUGAAAUUCCAAUCGAGCCCGGAGAUAGCUGGUUCUCCCCGAAAUAGCUUUAGGGCUAGCCUCAAGCGUAGAGAAACGGAGGUAGAGCACUGAAUGUCCUAGGGGGUAUUGCACUUACCGAAGACUAUCAAACUCCGAAUGCCGUUUUCUUUUACUUGGGAGUCAGACUGUGGGUGAUAAGAUUCAUAGUCAAAAGGGCAACAGCCCAGAUCGUCAGCUAAGGUCCCUAAAUGUACGUUAAGUGGUAAAGGAUGUGGGAUUGCACAGACAACCAGGAUGUUGGCUUAGAAGCAGCCACUCAUUUAAAGAGUGCGUAAUAGCUCACUGGUCGAGUGAUCCUGCGCCGAAAAUUUCCGGGGCUAAAACGUACUACCGAAGCUACGGCAUCAUUUAUGAUGGGUAGGGGAGCUUCGUAUGCAGGCUGAAGCAUGACCGUAAGGACAUGUGGACAGUAUACGAGUGAGAAUGUUGGCAUGAGUAGCGAGACGUGGGUGAGAAUCCCACGGGCCGUAAACCCAAGGUUUCCAGGGGAAGGUUCGUCCGCCCUGGGUUAGUCGGGACCUAAGCCGAGGCCGAAAGGCGUAGGUGAUGGACAACAGGUUGAUAUUCCUGUACCGCCAAUAAGCGUUUGAGAGAUGGAGUGACACAGUAGGAUAAGCUAACCGUACUGUUGGUUAUGUACGGCUAAGCAUUGAGGCAGUCUAAAUAGGCAAAUCCGUUUAGACAAUGCUAGGAUGUGAUGGGGAAGCCCUUCGGGGCGAAGUAGCUGAUUUCACACUGUCAAGAAAAGCUUCUAUCGAGUUUAAAGGCGCCCGUACCGUAAACCGACACAGGUGGGUGAGGAGAGUAUCCUAAGGCCAGCGAGAGAACUAUUGUUAAGGAACUCGGCAAAAUGACCCCGUAACUUAGGGAGAAGGGGUGCCUGUCUAUGACAGGCCGCAGAGAAUAGGCCCAAGCGACUGUUUACCAAAAACACAGGUUUCUGCUAAGUCGCAAGACGAUGUAUAGGAGCUGACGCCUGCCCGGUGCUGGAAGGUUAAGGGGAUCUGUUAGAGCAAUCGAAGCAGUGAACUUAAGCCCCAGUAAACGGCGGCCGUAACUAUAACGGUCCUAAGGUAGCGAAAUUCCUUGUCGGGUAAGUUCCGACCCGCACGAAAGGCGUAACGAUUUGGGCACUGUCUCAACAAUAGACUCGGUGAAAUUGUAAUCCCGGUGAAGAUGCCGGGUACCUGCGACAGGACGGAAAGACCCCAUGGAGCUUUACUGUAGCUUGACGUUGGGUCUUGGUACUACAUGUACAGGAUAGGUGGGAGACUAUGAAGCAUGGACGCCAGUCUGUGUGGAGUCAUCCUUGGGAUACCACCCUUGUAGUACUGGGAUCCUAACCAUAGGCCUUGAAUCAGGUCUUGGAACACCGUCAGGUGGGCAGUUUGACUGGGGCGGUCGCCUCCUAAAAAGUAACGGAGGCGCUCAAAGGUUUCCUCAGCACGGUCGGAAAUCGUGCGAAGAGUGUAAAGGCAAAAGGAAGCUUGAUUGCAAGACAUACAGGUCGAGCAAGGACGAAAGUCGGACUUAGUGAUCCGGUGGUACCGCAUGGAAGGGCCAUCGCUCAACGGAUAAAAGCUACCCUGGGGAUAACAGGCUUAUCUCCCCCAAGAGUCCACAUCGACGGGGAGGUUUGGCA